UACGUAGGGUGCGAGCGUUGUCCGGAAUUAUUGGGCGUAAAGAGCUCGUAGGCGGCCUGUUGCGUCCGCUGUGAAAUCCCGGGGCUCAACCCCGGGCGUGCAGUGGAUACGGGCUGGCUGGAGGCAGGCAGGGGAGAACGGAAUUCCUGGUGUAGCGGUGAAAUGCGCAGAUAUCAGGAAGAACACCCGUGGCGAAGGCGGCUCUCUGGGACGGUACUGACGCUGAGACGCGAAAGCGUGGGGAGCGAACAGG
rnacentral:rRNA from 1 species